rnacentral:rRNA from 1 species
GGAAAGCCUGCCGGAGAGGGUGAAAGCCCCGUAAGCGAAAGGAGAGCUGACUGAGCGGAAUCCAGAGUACAUCGAGACACGAGAAACCCUGAUGGAAUGAGCGGGGACCACCCCGUAAGCCUAAAUACUACUUAGUGACCGAUAGCGCAUAGUACUGUGAAGGAAAGGUGAAAAGGACCCCGGGAGGGGAGUGAAAGAGAACCUGAAACCCUGUGUUUACAAGCUGUGGAAGUUCUUUAAAUGAACAACCGCGUACUUUUUGUAGAACGGUCCGGCGAGUUGCGGAUACUGGCAAGGUUAAGCACUUAAGGUGCGGAGCCGAAGGGAUACCAAGUCUUAACAGGGCGUUAAGUCAGUAUACGCAGACCCGAAACCGGGUGAUCUAUCCAUGUCCAGGUUGAAGUUGUCGUAAAAGACAAUGGAGGACCGAAGCCACAUCCGUUGAAAAGGGUGGGCAUGAGGUGUGGAUAGGGGAGAAAUUCCAAUCGAACCCGGAGAUAGCUGGUUCUCCUCGAAAUAGCUUUAGGGCUAGCCUCGAUUUAGUCUUAUGGAGGUAGAGCACUGAAUUUCCGCGGGGGCGUCAAAGCUUACCAAAGAAUAUCAAACUCCGAAUGCCAUGUAGAUGAUGAUCGGGAGUCAGACUGCACGAGAUAAGUUGGGCAGUCAAAAGGGAAAGAGCCCAGACCACCGGCUAAGGUCCCAAAGUGCGUGUUAAGUGGAAAAGGAUGUGGGAAUUCGAAGACAACUAGGAUGUUGGCUCAGAAGCAGCCAUACAUUCAAAGAGUGCGUAACAGCUCACUAGUCGAGAGUUCCUGCGCCGAAAAUGUCCGGGGCUGAAACACGACACCGAAGCCGUGGACUCGCAAUGCGAGUGGUAGAGGAGCAUUCUUAAAACCGACGAAGCUGUACCGGAAGGAGCAGUGGAGGGAUAAGAAGAGAGAAUGCCGGAAUGAGUAGCGAGAGAAAGGUGGGAAUCCUUUCGGCCGAAUAUCUAAGGUUUCCAGAGUAAAGCUGAUCUGCUCUGGGUAAGUCGGGGCCUAAGCACAGGUCGCAAGACGUAAGCGAUGGAUAACAGGUUUAGAUUCCUGUACCACGCAUUAUCAGAACUGUAGGGACGCAUGUGGAAAGCACGGGCCGGGAAUGGAAAAACCGGUACAAGCGGGGUAGGUGUACAACAGGCAAAUCCGUUGUAUAAUCCGAAGACGUGAUGUGGAGCGAAAUAAAGUAGUGAAGCGUGUGAGCCAUGUGCCGAGAAAAGCUGCUAUUGUGUAAUGCGUGCCCGUACCGUAAACCGACACAGGUGGAUGAGGAGAGAAUCCUAAGGCCGACGGAAGAAGCAUUGUUAAGGAAUUCGGCAAAAUGACCCCGUAACUUCGGGAGAAGGGGUGCCUGCGAGAGCAGGCCGCAGAGAAUAGGCUCAAGCAACUGUUUAGCAAAAACACAGGUCUAUGCGAAACCGAAAGGUGAAGUAUAUGGGCUGACGCCUGCCCGGUGCUGGAAGGUUACGAGGAGAGGUUAGCGUAAGCGAAGCUUUGAAUUUAGCCCCAGUAAACGGCGGCCGUUAACUAUACGGUCCUAAGGUAGCGAAAUUCUUGUCGGGUAAUUCCGACCCGCACGAAAGGCGUACUGAUUUGAGCACUGUCUCGACNAUGCAU